rnacentral:tRNA from 1 species
GCGGGUAUAGUUGAUCGGUUCAAUGUCACCCUUCCAAGGUGAAGAGAGGGGUUCGACUCCCCUUACCCGCU